UCAAAAAAGAAUCCACAGCUAACCAUAAAUAAUGUCUUGCUAUGUUGCCCAGGCUGGUCUCAAACUCUGGGGCUCAAAUGAUCCACCCAUCUUGGCCUCCCAAAGUGCUGGGUGUGAACCACUGCACCUGGCCAAAAAUAUUUUACUAAGAAAAAGGAGUCACCUAUUGUAUGAUUCCAUUUAUAUGAAAUAUCCAAAAUAGGCCACAGAUCAGCCCUGGGGUUCAGAGGGAUCCUGACGGCUACUCCUCAAGAUCCUCUCUGUUGUGAUUCAUCCCCCCCAGGCCCUACAGUUUCUCCUUCCUGACUCUUACAUUUCUUUGGAUGGCAUCACUAUUUACCUGUCUCCUCCCAUAGUUAGUUGCCAAGCACUGUGGAUUCUACCCCUCAGGGUCCAGACACCCAUUUUCCUUCCCACUGUUCCCUCCCCAUGGAGAAGCCUGUGGCUGACUGACAGCUCAACUUGGAGAAGGUGUUACCUGGGCCAGGUGGGGAAGGUAGGGUUGUUUGCAGAGCAAAGAAGUGAAGGAAGUAUUAACCCUUUGCAUGGCCUCCUGAGAAUCUGACAAGACGUAAAUAGCCAAGAAUAUCUGUGGAACUUAAUCAGUGAGUUACAAUAUUUAUCACUGCAAGUGUGUUGUUCAUUGACACUAUAAAGCCAUAUGGAAUUAAGCAGCCUUGAAACACAAAAUGGAGAAAGGCUAAGAGCUGAGAAUUGUUGCCUUCAGGGAAAUAUAAUCAAUGUCAAGCAAACAACCACCCCAAAAUGGUUAGCUUUAUCAGCAUUCAGGCCUACAGUGAAAG
rnacentral:antisense_RNA from 1 species